CGCCUACUGAUAUAUUCUGGCUUUAAUCCCAGGCAACAGGAUGACUUUGGCCAGACACCGUUGCAUUUGGCUGUCCUCAGUGGCAAUCUCCUCAUGGUCCAGCUGCUGUGUGAGCAGAAUGGAGUGGAAUUAGAAACUGAGGAUAAAAAUGGGAACACGCCUCUAAAACUUGCGAGAG